GUGCCAGCAGCCGCGGUAAUACGUAGGGUGCGAGCGUUAAUCGGAAUUACUGGGCGUAAAGCGUGCGUAGGCGGUUUCGCAAGUCCGCUGUGAAAGCCCCGGGCUUAACCUGGGAAUGGCAGUGGAAACUAUGGGACUUGAAUCUGGCAGAGGGGGGUGGAAUGCCACGUGUAGCAGUGAAAUGCGUAGAUAUCCGGAGGAACACCGGUGGCGAAGGCGGCUUCCUGGACCGACACUGACGCUGAGGCGCGAAAGCUAGGGGAGCAAACGGGAUUAGAUACCCUGGUAGUCCACGCCAUAAACGAUGACAACUAGAUGUUGGGAGGGUCUGCCUCUCGGUGUCGCAGCUAACGCGUUAAGUUGUCCGCCUGGGGAGUACGGCCGCAAGGUUGAA
rnacentral:rRNA from 1 species